rnacentral:rRNA from 1 species
UGGGGAAUAUUGCACAAUGGGCGCAAGCCUGAUGCAGCGACGCCGCGUGAGGGAUGACGGCCUUCGGGUUGUAAACCUCUUUCAGCAGGGACGAAGGGUGACUGACGGUACCUGCAGAAGAAGCGCCGGCCAACUACGUGCCAGCAGCCGCGGUAAGACGUAGGGCGCGAGCGUUGUCCGGAUUUAUUGGGCGUAAAGAGCUCGUAGGCGGCUUGUCGCGUCGACUGUGAAAACCCGCGGCUCAACCGCGGGCCGGCAGUCGAUACGGGCAGGCUCGAGUUCGGUAGGGGAGACUGGAAUUCCUGGUGUAGCGGUGAAAUGCGCAGAUAUCAGGAGGAACACCGGUGGCGAAGGCGGGUCUCUGGGCCGAUACUGACGCUGAGGAGCGAAAGCGUGGGGAGCGAACA